rnacentral:rRNA from 1 species
GACGAACGCUGGCGGCGUGCUUAACACAUGCCAGUCGAACGGAAAGGCCCUGCUUUUGUGGGGUGCUCGAGUGGCGAACGGGUGAGUAACACGUGAGUAACCUGCCCUUGACUUUGGGAUAACUUCAGGAAACUGGGGCUAAUACCGGAUAGGAGCUCCUGCUGCAUGGUGGGGGUUGGAAAGUUUCGGCGGUUGGGGAUGGACUCGCGGCUUAUCAGUUUGUUGGUGGGGUAGUGGCUUACCAAGGCUUUGACGGGUAGCCGGCCUGAGAGGGUGACCGGCCACAUUGGGACUGAGAUACGGCCCAGACUCCUACGGGAGGCAGCAGUGGGGAAUAUUGCACAAUGGGCGGAAGCCUGAUGCAGCAACGCCGCGUGCGGGAUGACGGCCUUCGGGUUGCAAACCGCUUUCGCCUGUGACGAAGCGUGAGUGACGGUAAUGGGUAAAGAAGCACCGGCUAACUACGUA